UACGGAGGGUGCAAGCGUUAAUCGGAAUUACUGGGCGUAAAGCGUGCGCAGGCGGUUGUGCAAGACAGAGGUGAAAUCCCCGAGCUUAACUUGGGAACUGCCUUUGUGACUGCAUAGCUAGAGUGUGUCAGAGGGGGGUAGAAUUCCACGUGUAGCAGUGAAAUGCGUAGAGAUGUGGAGGAAUACCGAUGGCGAAGGCAGCCCCCUGGGAUAACACUGACGCUCAUGCACGAAAGCGUGGGGAGCAAACAGG
rnacentral:rRNA from 1 species